AGGAGUGAUUUUUACACAUUAUUUUUAUUAAAUAAAAUAGUAAUUUUUUUAAUUUUGUAUAAGAAACAUAAACAAAGGUAUUGUUGUGUCUCAGUUCCCAAAAGUUAAAAUGACAAAGUUAAAGUGGCCUUUGAAUCUUGACAGUUGAUUAUUGCUUUGUGGCCGACAAACUGGGGCAUCCCCACGUGGCUAUUUACCGACUUUUUUCUGAUUAAAAUAUGAGUGUUUUCAAGAGAACAAAUCACACUUGUACCCCUUAUAGUUUUACUCAAAUCUCACUUAAGCUCUUAUACUUUCAAUUAAAGCAAAUAAGCUAGUAUUUCACUUUGUAUCGUGCUUCGAAGUAGUCCAAUCACCGAACUUGGUUUCAUAAAUUAAUGGAAUAAAGCAAUAGAAGGAGCACAUGAGGGCUGUAGAAGUUAACCCAUGGAAAUAAAAGAGGGUUGUCUUGCCAAACUGCAAUUCCCACAACAAAUUGGAGGGAGAAAAGAGCAUUAAAGGGAGAUAAGAUUGUGUGGAAGAGAGAGAUGUCGUGCUCAGAUAAUGGCCAUGGACAAGAGAGAAGUAAUUUCCAUGGGCUGAGCUCCACAACCCUCGCGUCUGCUAAUUUAUGAAAUUGUGUUAGAUGAUUGGACUAUAUUAAAACACAAUAAAAUAAAAUAAAAGUUUAUUUGUAGCUGAUUGAAAGUAUAAGAGCUUAAGUGGAAUCUAGGUAAAACUAUAGGGGGUAUAAAUGUGGUUUAGGAAUGUUUUGAAUUUGUUAUGCUCAAUUGCAAGUUGGCGUCUAAAAUAAUUAAUUUAUAAAUUUCACAGCUACACACUCAUUUUAGAAAUAUUGAGUCUAGUGACAUUAUUAGCAGUCAAUAAACAUAAAAUUUUACAAUGACCAAUGAAAUUGUCAUGUGACAUAUAUCACAGUGAUAUUCAAUAGAUUCAUUUUCUAUGGUAGAAACAAAAACUUGAGAACAAGGCUUAGUUCAAGUGGUAAGGGCGGCUUUAUCAGGACUUAGCUUCAGGGUUCGAUUCUCACCCAUGUCCCGGGUACAAGGCGCAGUCGCUUCGGGCGGACGUCAGGUACACGAGCUAACACUCGGAGGUAUCGCGUUCGAUUCCUGGUGGUUACGUCGCAUAUCCGUGUUUAUAUCCUGAGGUGUGAAGGGCUAGCUGCUCAGGUACAGAGAUUAGUCUAGGUGAGCCCAAAGGCCUGUCUAGGACACUACGUGGUUAAUAAAAAAAAAAAAAAUUUGUAAGCUCGAAUUUGAACCAUCCAAAAGGAGACAUCUCCCAUCCAAAAUGAGAGACCAGUCUUCGAGGAUUGGGAAUGAGUGCUCCAUUAUAGACAUGUAAAAAAUUUAAAUUCUUUUGACUUUUUGAUUGUAAAAUCACAUAGAAUUAAUAUCAUGAACUCGACACAAAAUGAUUCUCCUAUUUUCUAUUUGAAUAAAACUUCAGUCAAUUAACUCUUUUAGAUAUUUUUCAGUCACCUCCUCAGUUUCUUCAUCUAAUUUUAUAAAACCCUCUUCCAUGCACACCCACAACAUGUAGAGUUUGUCCGCAUUAAUUUCAUUAUCUUCAGGAAACAUACACAUGUAAAGAAAGCAAGACUUCAAGUUUUGAGGAAAUUAUUAAAACUCAAAACCAAUAUAUGUUGAACAUAAACGUUGUCUUGUCUUACAUGGCGAAUGAUGUACUUUUGAACCUUUGACCACUCAUGAAGUUAUUUUCUUGACAACACCCCGUCAAAUAUAAUAAUGGGUAAAGGGUAAGUCACGAUAUUUUCUGACCAUGUAUCUUGCCAUACGCUACAUGUUUGGAGGAAAAGCGACUAUUUUUUUCACUAGCUUGACUCCAGUUUGGAUAGUGAUAAUGACUUUGCUUUCUUUUUUGGGAAGGCUCUCCUCAAACUUUCCCAAAUUUCUACCUCUCAUCCAUCACCCAGCACCAUCAAGUAUCGAUGUCCUUUCAAGAAUUCAUGUACAUAAGACAUCAAUUCUUGUAGUUUCAUCUUCUCCAACCUCUCGAAUUUCUCUUUGGUGGUGGGCUUCUUGAAAGAUUUUAUUGAAAUAGUCAACAACAGAGGUAUGAUCCUAACUUUGGAGAGACGAAGAUAGAAGAUACAAAAUUUGUAAUCUACACUUAAAAAUACAAUAUAAAUUUCAUCCUUAGAGUAAUGAACCUAUAUAAUUUUGUAAUUUCGUAGCUAACUCUACUAUAAAACUCAGGUUUUUUAGAAACUUUGGGGCGAAAGUCGCCCUUAGACCCUUCUAAUUCCAUCUCCGACUCAUAGCUACCACCACCACCACUACUACCCACCACCACUGUCACUAUCCAGCCAAACAAUCCACCCCACCAGCCAUGCCAUAUCCAGCAAACAACACAUGUAGCACCAGUACACCACCACCAAGAAUUGAACUUUUGUCCUUCCAUACACCUGUAUUAGUUUAUGCAAUAAAUUUGAACUAAAAAGUAUAAUUCAGUGCAGAUUCCUUGCACCAAGACC
rnacentral:lncRNA from 1 species